rnacentral:rRNA from 1 species
AUCGUUGUGACGUGGGGUGGUUUGCUGCGCAUGACACAGCGAGAAGUCCAUUGAACCUUAUCAUUAGAGGAAGGAGAAGUCGUAACAAGGUUUCCGUAGGUGAACCUGCGGAAGGAUCAUUGUCGAGAUGCUCGGACAAUCGCUCGAAACUGCAAAACCAUGCGGUCCCCCGGGAGACGUAGCGCGUGCGCCGUCUGAUGGGCGUGGCCGCCUUAAGGAUCCGAGCAAGCAAAGGUGGGUGUUGCGGGCACAGUGUUGCACGCCCUCGCUAGCUGGCUUGUUGUUGCCCGGCGUACCUCUGAUACAGGGGUCGAUCGCGCAUGCAUUUUCACCUUACAACUCUCGGCAACGGAUAUCUAGGCUCUCGCAUCGAUGAAGAACGUAGCGAAAUGCGAUAUGUGGUGUGAAUUGCAGAAUCCCGUGAACCAUUGAGUAUUUGAACGCAAGUUGCGCUCGAGGCUGUUAGUCGAGGGCGCGCCUGCCUGGGCGUCUUUCAAUCCUUUGCUCUGCCCAUUAGAAGGCACGCAAGAAUUACACUUCUGCCGUCUUCUAUGCGGAUGCGCUUUGUGGCCCCUCAUGCUCGAGGCAUGUUGGGUUGAAGAGCAGGCAUUGCUCGGGGUGCUGCUGGCAAUUUGUGGCAGAGCGUCGGCCGUGCACGGUCGACGGUCGAACGGAGGUGCCAGCGCAGUCGAGCGAUCAGCGGUCCCGACAAACCCGUCGAUUGCCGUCCCGUCAGAGACGGGCCUAGUGACGCGACCUCAGGUCAGGUGCGACAACCCGCUGAGUUUAAGCCAUAUUAU